GACGAACGCUGGCGGCGUGCUUAACACAUGCAAGUCGAACGAUGAAGCCGGAGCUUGCUCUGGUGAAUUAGUGGCGAACGGGUGCGUAACACGUGAGUAACCUGCCCUUGACUCUGGGAUAACUGCGGGAAACUGUAGCUAAUACCGGAUACGACCCUCGGAGGCAUCCCCUGGGGGUGGAAAGAUUUUCGGUCAAGGAUGGACUCGCGGCCUAUCAGCUAGUUGGCGAGGUAAAGGCUCACCAAGGCGACGACGGGUAGCCGGCCUGAGAGGGUGAACGGCCACACUGGGACUGAGACACGGCCCAGACUCCUACGGGAGGCAGCAGUGGGGAAUAUUGCACAAUGGGCGCAAGCCUGAUGCAGCAACGCCGCGUGAGGGAUGACGGCCUUCGGGUUGUAAACCUCUUUUAGCAGGGAAGAAGCGAAAGUGACGGUACCUGCAGAAAAAGCACCGGCUAACUACGUGCCAGCCGCCGCCGUAA
rnacentral:rRNA from 1 species